rnacentral:rRNA from 1 species
UGGGGAAUAUUGCGCAAUGGGGGAAACCCUGACGCAGCGACGCCGCGUGCGGGAUGAAGGCCUUCGGGUUGUAAACCGCUUUUGAUUGGGAGCAAGCUUUCGGGUGAGUGUACCUUUCGAUUAAGCGCCGGCUAACUACGUGCCAGCAGCCGCGGUAAUACGUAGGGCGCAAGCGUUAUCCGGAAUUAUUGGGCGUAAAGAGCUUGUAGGCGGUUCGUCGCGACUGGUGUGAAAGCCCAUCGCUUAACGGUGGGUUUGCGCCGGGGACGGGCGGGGUAGAGGGCAGUAGGGGAGACUGGAAUUCCCGGGGUAACGGUGGAAUGUGUAGAUAUCGGGAAGAACACCAAUGGCGAAAGCAGGUCUCUGGGCUGUUACUGACGCUGUGAAGCGAAAGCGUGGGGAGCGAACAGG